AUUGAACGCUGGCGGCAGGCCUAACACAUGCAAGUCGAACGAGUGGCGGACGGGUGAGUAAUGUCUGGGAAAAUGCCUGAUGGAGGGGGAUAACUACUGGAAACGGUAGCUAAUACCGCAUACCAUCGGAUGUGCCCAGAUGGGAUUAGCUAGUGGGUGGGGUAACGGCUCACCUAGGCUACGAUCCCUAGCUGGUCUGAGAGGAUGACCAGACACACUGGGACUGAGACACGGGCCAGACGCCUACGGGAGGCAGCAGUGGGGAAUCUUGGACAAUGGGCGCAAGCCUGAUUCAGCCAUGCCGCGUGUAUGAUGAAGGCCUUCGGGUUGUAAAGUACUUUCAGCGGAGAGGCGUUACCUGCAGAAGAAGCACCGGCUAACUCCGUGCCAGCAGCCGCGGUAAUAC
rnacentral:rRNA from 1 species